AGGGUUAUAGUUUAUAAAACAUUUAAUUUGCAUUUAAAAAAUAUUAAUAUAUUUAAUUUACCUUA
rnacentral:tRNA from 1 species